rnacentral:pre_miRNA from 1 species
UUUCUACUCCCUCCGUCCGAAAAUACUUGUCAUCAAAAUGGAUAAAAAGAGAUGUAUCUAAAACUAAAAUACAUCUAGAUACAUUUCCUUUUAUCCAUUUUGAUGACAAGUAUUUUCGGACGGAGGGAGUAUUUG